AGAACGAACGCUGGCGGCAGGCUUAACACAUGCAAGUCGAACGCGUGUAGCAAUACACGAGUGGCGCACGGGUGAGUAACGCGUGGAUAUCUGCCUUUUGGUUCGGAAUAACCCCGGGAAACUGGGGCUAAUACCGGAUGGUUCCUACGGGAUAAAGAUUUAUCGCCAAAAGAUGAGUCCGCGUACGAUUAGCUAGUUGGUGAGGUAAUGGCUCACCAAGGCGACGAUCGUUAGCUGGUCUGAGAGGACGAUCAGCCACACUGGGACUGAGACACGGCCCAGACUCCUACGGGAGGCAGCAGUGGGGAAUAUUGGACAAUGGGGGCAACCCUGAUCCAGCCAUGCCGCGUGAGUGAUGAAGGCCUUCGGGUUGUAAAGCUCUUUUGGCGGGACGAUGAUGACGGUACCCGCAGAAUAAGCCCCGGCUAACUUCGUGCCAGCAGCCGC
rnacentral:rRNA from 1 species